GAGAAUGAAUAGUAUAUUUUAGUUAUUCCAGAAAUAGAACAAAGCAGAUGUUUUUAUAAAUUAUUUAUGUAUGAAAACACCCAAAUGCAAGAACUUUUUAUUGAUCCCAGUGGGUUCUGGACUGUGGCCCAUACUUUAUUUAUGCUGUGAUGUGAUUUCAAUGAAAAACAAAAAUCAAGGAAACAUGGGAGACCUUGAGCUUCAGCUCAGGACUCUGGCCAAUUUCUAAUCCAAAAUGGCUUCUGCAAAGCAUAAAUUAAGUUUCUUUUCAGCAGGACAACAACUAAUCUACUUUUCCAAUUAACAAUUAAACCAACUUCUCUGCCGAAAAAUCUGCCAUUUAAGGUCAGCACGAAGAAAUUCUAUAAAUACAUGAGCUCCCAAUUAAUUCACAUAGGGCCUACUGUUACACAAUUUACAAGGCCUGAAUCUACUUUCCCUACAGAUCAGCCUGAGCUGCGUUUCACCCUUACAGAACGAAAUGCCGUUGUUCUGUAUUUAAUUAUUUUUUCAACGCUGCCACAGUGCUGCAGUGCGUGAGUGACAGAGCUUCGCCACAGCGAGCUUCCCCUGCCGCCUUAAUCCACUGGAUGAGCCUGGCUGCUUCCAGGGUCUUCCACGGCAGCUUCCCCUCCCCGCAGCGGCUGCUACCGCACACCCAGCGCGGAGGGGCCCGACGGACCCACGGAGGAGCCGAACCUUCGACACCCACACGGCGCAGGGACUCGAGCUGCGCAUUUUAUUUUAUUCCAGCUCCCCCCUCAGCGUUUUUCAGCCCCCACACAGGAAUCGUGCGGCCGCGGAUGAGGCAGUGAUCCUCCCCGGGCUGAGCGCUGCGGCAGCGCUGUCCUGCCGGGGCCCCGCCACCGUUCCUUGGGCCCCCGGUGCCCGUUUCCACCCGGAGCGUUCCCCCCUCCGCCUCCCCCUCGCCGCCGGCCGUAGGCGCCUUCCCGCAGCCCUUCCCCGCUCCCGCAGCACCACUCCCCCGGUUCCACCCCCGCCGCGGCUGCGGGAGCGGCCGGGCCCGCGCCCCCUCUCCCGACCCGUCCCGCCUCACCUUCGGGCGGGUCCCGCAGGAGGCUCUGCCGGAUGUCCAGCUGCUGUAGCAGAGCUGUGGCCACCAGAAGAAGGACCAGAGCAGCCUCCUGCUGAUGUAACCUCAAUUUCCCACCAAGCCUGAGCAUUUCUGACAGCAGAAAGCAUUUACCAGUGGACUGCUGAGCACAUCAGUAUGGAUACAGUUCUCUUGCUGUUUGGAUUGGGAGAGCCAUCACUCUGAUCAGAAACUGAAAUCCUGCUUUGUGCUCCUCCAGUGUGGAAAUCUGUCAGAAAUGGCUUCAAGCAAGCCCCAAACACCCAACAGCAAGCCAGAUGACACGGCACAAACCACAACCUUUUGCUCAAAAGCCAGCUGAGAGACUGAAGUGAGAAAGGAUUUAGAGUUUCAUCCCUGCUGAGCUGAGGAAGAUCGUGUGCGAACUGACAUCGCUGCCGAUCGCGGAAGGCGCGGAAAAUCCUAACCUGAACUUGGGGAAAACAGCCUCACUUUUCUCAGAAGGAAAGAUGAAUCCACAGAGUAGAUCUUGCCACAGCAGAAGGAACAUGUGUCAUGGGAACAGCAGAGGCAAAAUGUGUCACGGGAAAAAUCUUGACGGAUUCAGCCCAGGACGCGAAUAUGCAAAUUGAGACCAAAUUAAAUGCAAUUGAGCAAGAUAACACAUAUCCCAGCAAUGAAGAAAACUCACAGCACACUCGCAAAAAAGAUGGAGUUUAAAUCCAAGGAGGGGGCUCUGAGGAUGUAUAAGCAGUCCCCAGUGACUAAAUUUUAGCAGCAAUAUGAAAAUUUCCCUGAAAAGGAGGCAGGAAAGUGUUGCAGGAAUCAAACAAGGAGUAACUGAAGUGCAGGGGCCAUUGCUGAACUCAGUGGAAGAGGUGUAACCUGCCCCCUAAGACAGCAACAAAGCCCAGGUACUAAAUAACAAUAUAGUUUUUCUGAUAUUAAAAAGUCAUCCUGUGGCUCACUUCUGGGAUACUGUGUAUUUUUUCUCUUCCUGGCCUGCUCUGCUGAAAGAGGGAUUUUCAAGAGUUGCUGGUUUCUAUCUCCAAAGCAGUUUGAUUUCAGUUCCAGGGGAAAUGAAACUCUCAGCUAGCUUCAUUUGUAAAAUCUUUGAAGAUGUGGGAAUGUCCUCUGGCUGUAGGGAGAGGGAGUGUGAUUCAGAGCCUGGUACAGAUAUAGAAAGGGGUUCAAUAUUUAAUUAAACAUAAUCUUCCUUGUGGCAUGAGUGACUGAGCUCUUUCAGGAAUAAAAGUCCUUGGUUUUUAUUACAUUAUUCUGCAGAUGUGACAACAGAAAACCUUUUGCAGGACUAUGCU